GACGAACGCUGGCGGCGUGCUUAACACAUGCAAGUCGAACGGAAAGGCCCUGCUUUUGUGGGGUGCUCGAGUGGCGAACGGGUGAGUAACACGGGAGUAACCUGCCCUUGACUUUGGGAUAACUUCAGGACACUGGGGCUAAUACCGGAUAGGAGCUCCUGCUGCAUGGGGGGGGUUGGAAAGUUUCGGCGGUUGGGGAUGGACUCGCGGCUUAUCAGCUUGUUGGUGGGGUAGUGGCUUACCAAGGCUUUGAAGGGUAGCCGGCCUGAGAGGGUGACCGGCCACAUUGGGACUGAGAUACGGACCAGACGCCUACGGGAGGCAGCAGUGGGGAAUAUUGCACAAUGGGCCGAAGCCUGAUGCAGCAACGCCGCGUGCGGGAUGACGUCCUUCGGGUUGUGAACCGCUUUCGCCUGUGACGAAGCGUGAGUGACGGUAAUGGGUAAAGAAGCACCGGCUAACUACGUG
rnacentral:rRNA from 1 species